UCAAACCCCACAGUCGGAUCCGGAUCCGGAUCGGAAAUAAUUAGAAUUAAACAUCACUCUUCCUCUAUCUUUCCACCAUCUCCCAUCUCUCUCUCUCUUCGGGAACCAGAUCUGCAAUGGUGGUUGCAGAUUUGGUGGAAGGUUAGGGUUUGUUCGAAAUAAAAUUUUGGGGUUUUCAUGUACAAAAGAGGAUAGCUCAAAUUGACGGUUGAAGGUUGAUGAAGGAUGGUGGCAGGUGGGGUUGAUGGCGGAUAUUGAUGGCAGUCGUUGUUGUUGAAGGAAGGUGGCAGGUGGGUUGAUGUUGGCGGUUGUUGAUGAAGGAUGGUCGCAGGUGGGUGGUGAUCGUUGAAGGUUGAUGAAGGAUGGUGGCAAGUGGUGGUCCGGUGGUAGUGGUGGUUGUUGGGAGCUACGGUGGUGGAGGGUCUAGCUGAAAACAUGAAUAAUCAAAGCCAAAGCCAAUUUCAGCUUUGUUUGGAAAUCUACACUUUGAAGAUGAUGUUUCAGAUGUUGAAGAUGAUGUUGAAGAUGUUGAAGAUGAUU